UUCAAACUUAAAUGUUAUAACAGUAAACACAUAACAAAGUGGAAUGAAAUCCUGCGUACUCGUCCUGUCGAUAAUCCUAAUCUUUGCACUGGAAGUGGCUCUUGAGGAUCCUUUUCUUCGUUUCUGUCCCGUCGGAAGAAAGAAACUGGAAAAUGGACAAGAAUGGUCGAACAACGACGGGUGUUUCAAAUAUACUUGUCAAUUGAGAGGUUCCGACGUCACGCUAAAAGUUUCUUAAUAGUCCAAGUGAUGAUUUGUUCGAAGGAGACAUAUUAGGAUACGAACACGAUAAUGCAA